AUUAUCUUUCUUUUUUUGCUUAUUAUUUAACUUCUUUUUUAAGCGCCUUUUGUCUUGAUUAGACCAUGAAGUCAAAUAACUUUGAAAAGUUUGCACUUUGCUUACAUUAGAAUCUGAAUAUUCUGGUUGCUUGGCAACGUUUGCAGGAUUGGGUGGGUCAAACAUGGCCUACUCAAUUUAUGUGUUUAACUCGGAGGAUUAAGAUGUUCAGAUUUUCUUUAUCUUUUUUUUCUAAUUUGAGAGAGAAGGUGGAAUGUUACAUCAGGUCUAGCUGAUUCUGUUGGUUUGCCAUGUUGAAUAGCCCAAGGAUGCAAGUACUGCACAUUGCCGAUCUUCAGGAGACGCUGCCACCAAUCUUCAGGAAACCUUCGUCGAUUCUCAAGCGAAGAACGGACGCCCUCAUCAUCCCAAACCGCCGAUCUUUAGGAAACCAUGUGAUCUGUCAUGAAUGGUGGGAUCUCGUUAGGGUUCCCAAGUUCUGUUCAGAGCAAUGGUGGUGUUUGUUUUCUCAACGUUGUAUGUUAUUUGGUGUUUGGUUUUUCUUAUGCGACUAUGUUGAUUGAGACUCAAGGUUUAAUUGGAACUGGUUUGGAAUUUAGUUGUUAGUUAA